AUUACCGCGGCUGCUGGCACGGAGUUAGCCGGGGCUUCUUCUGUGGGUACUGUCACUUGCUUCUUCCCCACUGAAAGUGCUUUACAAUCCGAAGACCUUCAUCACACACACAGAAUUGCUGGAUCAGGCUCGUGGCCCAUUGUCCAAUAUUCCCCACUGCUGCCUCCCGUAGG
rnacentral:rRNA from 1 species